GCAUAGUACUGAUUGCAGUAGGAGUCGGUGGGCCUCGAGUAGGUGGGCCUCCGUAGGGAGCCAGCGUGGAUCGAGUGCGGGGCCUGGACUUCCCGCCCCCUCCGCACUGCAGACUCUGCGGUGAUUUAAAGGUGCCUGGCGGUGGUACGGGAUCCAACUGUAAAAUGUCAUCCCAGCUAGUGUGACAUCACCACAGUUUAGUGUGACACCCCCAGAGCUUGGGCAGUGUACGGGACGACAGUGCCUAGCAGAGGAGCUUCACUGCCGGUGAGGGAUUACCUCAGAAACUUCCUUCUACUACUUAAAGUCCUCACAUUGGGCUGACCUGGGAAACAUGAAGAUAAAAAGAGUGGGUAAACAUGCCUGCUUGAUGAGCCAGAAAAAAAGGCAGAAACCUGUGGUCUGGGUAGAACAGAUCCUGCUCAGAAUGUAAGCUUCAAACAUGUUUAUCAUGCCUUGGUUCAACCUAACUCUCUGACAUGUUCCUAAACUCCUGCUCUCUCAAGUUAUGUCCCUUUCCUCUUUUCAAAUAUCUCUCAGAAUUCACCCUUUCGGGAACCUUUGCUGAUUGACUCCUAUUUUAUUUGAAUUCUGCAUCAUCAUCUGAUUACUUAAAUUAACCUGUACCUUCUUUAUUUAUACUUGUUAACUUCUAUUUUCAUUGCUCUUAGGUCCUCAGUCUUUCUCACUAUACGGAGAGCUUCUUAAAGUCUGUAUUUUCUCCUCUUUAGUAUCAUUCACUCAUUCAUCCAGCAAACUGCUUGUGUGCCUGCUCUGUGCUAUACACUCUUCUAGACACUGGGUCAGGUAUGAAUGAGACAGGUGAAUAAAGCAUGGUCUUUUCCCUCAGGGACCUUACAGUCUAAUGAGGAAAAAACGUGUGCAGACAUAUAUAAGAUAAGUGAGAGAGUCGGAGAAGAACAUCAGAAGUGAUAUUUGAGCAUAGUAAGGUCAAAGAAGUUUCAAAGUUUAGUCAUUUGUCCAUUCAGUAACUAUUUAUAGAGCAUCUUCUGUGUGCUAGGCACUAUAUAAGAAAUU
rnacentral:lncRNA from 10 species